CAAACGUCCAUGACGUUUGCGAUGGAAGGAGAGACGCAACGGCAGCAAGGUGAAGAGACCAUUCAGCGAAUCGUUCGCCAGGCCAGCCGGUUACGGGUCGUUUUUGCCUCUGAUGAAGAGCUGGCUGCGCAUGAAUCGCGGCUUGAUCUGGUGCAGAAAAAGGGCGGAAGUUGCCUUUGGCGGGCGUAAUUUAUUCCUUUUGAGGCUAUAAAAAUCAUCCUUCGGGCGAUUUUUGCAGCAACUGAUUCAAAAGGUGAGAAAAAGCGUUGACGGGCGACACCGCAAACCGUAAUAUUCGCCUCGUUCCCAGCGGGAACAUAACGGAGCGGUAGUUCAGUUGGUUAGAAUACCUGCCUGUCACGCAGGGGGUCGCGGGUUCGAGUCCCGUCCGUUCCGCCACUUAUUAAGAGCCCUGAGCAUUAGCUCAGGGCUUUUUCUUUGCCUGUCAUUUAAUUAUUGCUCAAUUCGCAAAAAUCCUCUGCAUUUUUCGCUCUUUUUCUACAAAGCGCUGAAGGUCAUAAUCCCCUCAGUUAACGAACAUAGUGAUUAAAAAGAGGAAUUCUAUGACUAUCCCUGCAUUCGGUUUAGGUACUUUUCGCCUGAAAGACGACGUGGUUAUCGCUUCUGUGAAAACGGCGCUUGAACUGGGCUACCGUGCUGUCGACACUGCGCAAAUCUAUGAUAAUGAAGCGGCUGUUGGACAGGCGAUUGCUGAGAGCGGCGUACCGCGUAAUGAGCUGUACAUCACCACCAAGAUCUGGAUUGAAAACCUUAGCAAAGACAAGCUGAUCCCAAGCCUGAAAGAGAGCCUGAAAAAACUGCGUACCGAUUAUGUCGAUCUGACGCUGAUCCACUGGCCAUCUCCGGGUGAUGCCGUGUCUGUCGAAGAAUUUAUGCAGGCAUUGCUGGAAGCUAAAAAACAAGGGCUGACUCGCGAAAUUGGCAUUUCAAACUUCACCAUUCCGUUGAUGGAAAAGGCUAUUGCCGCGGUGGGCGCAGACCAUAUCGCCACCAACCAGAUUGAGCUAUCUCCGUAUCUGCAGAAUCGUAAGGUGGUUGACUGGGCGAAAGCGCACGGUAUCCAUAUCACCUCAUACAUGACGCUGGCCUAUGGUAAGGCGCUGAAAGAUGAAGUGAUUGCACGUAUCGCUGCUAAACAUAAUGCGACGCCGGCGCAGGUUAUUCUGGCAUGGGCAAUGGGUGAAGGUUACUCCGUGAUCCCUUCAUCCACCAGGCGUGAAAACCUGGCAAGCAAUCUGCUGGCGCAGGACCUGCAUCUGGAUGCUGAAGAUAAAAAUGCGAUCGCGGCACUGGAUUGCAACGACCGCCUGGUUAGCCCGGAAGGUCUGGCCCCUGAGUGGGAUUAAUUGCCUGACCCUUUGUACCCUUUACCCCUCUUUCACAGCUCCUUCGGGAGCUGUUCUUAUAUAUUCGCUCAAAAAGUCGAUAAAUGCCCGAAUGCGUGUGCUGACGGCGCGAUCGCUGUAGUAAACGGCGCUGAAAGGCAUUUCUACCGGCAGACGUUUAUCGGCCAGCAGUUCCACCAAUUCUCCCCGCGCGAUCUCUUUAUCAAUCAUAUAAUCUGAAAGACAUGCAAUGCCGUUACCGUUCAGGCAAAGCUGUUUUAACGUUUCCCCGCUGUUGGAAGAAAUCCCACAUUCAACCUCAUGGAGCUGCCCAUCGCUACAGGCUAUUGGCCAGGUAU
rnacentral:rRNA from 1 species